rnacentral:rRNA from 1 species
CCUACGGGUGGCUGCAGUGAGGAAUAUUGGUCAAUGGGCGCGAGCCUGAACCAGCCAAGUAGCGUGAAGGAUGACUGCCCUACGGGUUGUAAACUUCUUUUAUAAAGGAAUAAAGUGAGGCACGUGUGCCUUUUUGUAUGUACUUUAUGAAUUAGGAUUGGCUAACUCCGUGCCCACAGCCGCGGUAAUACGGAGGAUUCGAGCGUUAUCCGGAUUUAUUGGGUUUAAAGGGAGCGUAGAUGGGUUGUUAAGUCCGUUGGGAAAGUGUGCGGCUCAACCGUAAAAUUGCAAUUGAUACUGGCAGUCUUGAGUACAGUAGAGGUAGGCGGAAUUCGUGGUGUAGCGGUGAAAUGCUUAGAUAUCACGAAGAACUCCGAUUGCGAAGGCAGCUUACUAAACUGCCACUGACAUUGAUGCUCGAAAGUGUGGGUAUCAAACAGGAUUAGAUACCCCAGUAGUC